rnacentral:tRNA from 1 species
UGAUAAGAAAGAUUUUAUCUUGUUAAUAGAUUUACAAUCUAUCGCUUAUUUUCUCGGCCAUCUUACC